CUACAGUGACACAUCAUCAUGGGAGACUGGACUGCUCACCUCACGGUUAGGAAGGAAAAAGAGGAAGAGGAAGGGCGUGGGGCCCCACAUCUUCAAGUUUCCCCCACCUCCCAAGAGCAUCAGGCCACCUUGGAAUUUCUUCAGCAUAGAAGCCCUGAACAAACAAGCCACAGCCAGGUUUCUGACGUCAUCACUGCCUGCCGCUCUGGUUACCAAGAUGGCCCAGGACUCUGACUCACAUUGCCUAUGUCAGUGAGGCGUCUCACUCCCUAACUAUAAAUAUUUGUGUAGCUAUGCAGGGAAAGAGAGAAAAGGGGAAUUUGUCAGUAUUUAGUCUUUGCUUUGGGUAAGAAAUAAGGAUUUGGGGAUAUAAAUUAUUUCUAAAAUGUGAAGUUCUACAUAUUUUCUUGUGUUCUCUUUUUUAUCUACAUAAAGUAGUAAGGUUUAAAAAAUCUUUGGGAGUAUGUGGAAAAGUGUUCAAAACAAACAUCUGAAUUAGGAAAAGGACUGUGAACACAGCUGGUAUAUACAGAUCACAUAUAAUAAGAUAGGGGAAUGAAAGUCAUAAUUCAGCCACCAAGAUAGAAUAGAAAUCAGAUACUGUACAAAAGUGAGAUAAGUCACCUUUUGGGACUUGCAAAAAGGAGUUAAACAAAAGCCAAGUGUUAAUCCUUAAGUUCAUCAUCAACACUGAGAGUCUAGUCAUAUUGGCAGUGGUACUUAACAGAGUUAAUUGUAAAUCUAAUUUGUAAAUUCUUAAUUUCCACCCAUGGAGUUGGGUGUUUCCCCCAUUGAAUAAGAUCUCCAGUUAAUACACUGGAGAGUUUAAUGCCUUCCUUGCUAUUAGGAAGACAAAAUAGAUUGGUGUCUGACUGCUUUCCAGAAAAUCAACGAUUUCAGCUGGUUCUCCAGUGUCACCAGUGAAGGAAAUGCUACUGCACCGAGGUCAACGUCAUUCUGGGGGACUGGUGGCUCAAAGAUGCACGAGCAGUGUGUCUGUGGGGGGAAUGUGACAGAGGGCGGGUCUCACUUUUCCCCAGAGGAUUGCUUUGGGUAGAUGGGAAAUGAACAGUGAGAGGUUCCUGCAGAAAGUCUUUAUGCAUAAUCAAAAUAAAACCUGUACUUCCAGGCGCACAGAGAACCAGAUAAAUAUAUCCUUGUUUAUUUUUUAGAAAAUAGAGUGAAAUGUUUCAAGUGACUCAAGGCGAGAUCUCAAAAGACUUUAUAUUCUGUCUGACCAUUUCUGCCACAAUCACCUGUUCUAGGAUAAUACAGUCAGCUCCAAAUAUCUGCCAAAUUCAGAGGGUGGAGCCAUUUUUACAGUGACACUGCCCAGGGAUCAGAAUCUUAAACCUGAGGUUCUGAGACAAGCUCAUGGAACAACAAUUCUUUUGAGUACCAGAAUAAAUCAUACUGAGCUGAAGAUGCAGUGGACGGAAAUGAAAAUUUGAACAGUAUACAAUUAAAAAAAAACGCUUCAAGAACUGCAAACAUGGAAGAAAGGAUACUUUAAUAGACUUAAGAAAAGAUAUUUCCUUACCAAAUAGUUCAGUAAAAGGAGAAGAUACCCAUUUCUAAGAUUGGACUAAAGGCAAAGAAGAAUAAUAACCAGACAUACUUUAAAUGCAAAGUGAUUAUGACAAGAAAAUAUUUUUUCUUAAUAAAUAUCCAAGAGUUUUAGUAAGCAAACGAACCAUAAUUUUAAAGGGAAUUUUAGAAAAAAUGUUCAAAGGGAACAGGAAGAGGGACAUUAAUUAUGGUAGCAAACAUCCCAGAACUAAUGGGACUUAUCUUCAUAUUAGGAGUCAAUGAGCUCCUAGUAACAUUGCUUAAUAAUACAUUCCUGUAGUCCAAAGCUAAUGAGAAAAAUCUUAUCAGCUUAUAGACAGAAAAAAUAAAUUUCCUACAAAGGAAAGAGAAUCAGACUUCUCAUCUGUCACACUAGAAGGAUCAAUGAACUAAGAUCCCCGCACAUUGCCAGAGGAAAAUCUCUCCCAUCGGAGGUCCAAUAUCAGCCAAUUGUUAUUCUCCUGCAAAGGUGAAUGAUAUUAAA